rnacentral:lncRNA from 1 species
UAAAGAGAUAACCUCCGGACACUGAGAUCACAUUCUCACCAAGAAGACCCCUGGGUGCCCGGCCGCCAGACCCCGAGGGUAAAGGCC